UCUUCUAAGGGUGUUCAUGUAGAUGAGUCCAAGAUCAAUGCUAUUAAAACUUGGCCCCAACCAACCAAUUUGCAACAAGUGCGUAGUUUUCUUGGUUUAGCCGGUUUCUACCGUAGAUUUCUGAAGGAUUUUAGCACCAUUGCUUCACCUUUACAUGCUUUGAGCAAGAAGAACGCGCCUUUUGUUUGGGGACCAUCUCAAGAUAUUGCUUUCAAUGAGCUUAAGAAUUUGCUUACUCAUGCUCCUGUGCUUGCUUUACCCAACUUCGACAAGCCUUUUGAGAUUCAUUGCGAUGCUAGCGGUAAUGGCAUAGGAGGUGUGUUGACGCAAGAGAAGCGCCCCAUAGCUUACUUUAGUGAGAAACUU
rnacentral:rRNA from 1 species